UAGUCCACGCCGUAAACUAUGAUCACUCGAUAUUGGCUUCGGUCAGUGUCCUAGCGAAAGUAAUAAGUGUCCCACCUGGGGAGUACGGUCGCAAGAUUGAAACUCAAAGGAAUUGACGGGGGCCCGCACAAGCGGUGGAGCAUGUGGUUUAAUUCGAUGAUACGCGAGGAACCUUACCAGGGCUUAAAUGUAGAGUGACAGGUCUAGAGAUAGAUUUUUCUUCGGACACUUUACAAGGUGCUGCAUGGUUGUCGUCAGCUCGUGCCGUGAGGUGUCAGGUUAAGUCCUAUAACGAGCGCAACCCCUAUCGUUAGUUGCUAGCAGGUAAUGCUGAGGACUCUAGCGAGACUGCCGGUGCAAACCGUGAGGAAGGUGGGGAUGACGUCAAAUCAUCACGGCCCUUACGUCCUGGGCUACACACGUGCUACAAUGGUAUGGACAAUGAGCAGCCACUAUGCGAAUAGGAGCGAAUCUAUAAACCAUAUCAC
rnacentral:rRNA from 1 species